rnacentral:rRNA from 1 species
UGCGUAGGCGGCGCAGCAAGUCGGGUGUGAAAUCCCCCAGCUCAACUGGGGAAUUGCGCCCGAAACUGCUGUGCUAGAGGAAUAUAGAGGUGAGCGGAACUUAGGGUGGAGCGGUGAAAUGCGUUGAUAUCCUAAGGAACACCGGUGGCGAAAGCGGCUCACUGGGUAUUCUCUGACGCUGAGGCACGAAAGCUAGGGGAGGCAACG